rnacentral:lncRNA from 1 species
GUGGGGGCAGCUGACUCUCCUCAUAGUAUCCUGGUGGCCUCUCUUCUCCCAAGCCUUGAAUUUGCCCCGGAGCGCAGGCUUCUGGGUAACUUGACAGCCUGAAUCUAAGGCUCACCCAGAUCUGGAGAGGCCCUUCUUGUCCUUACCUGAGAGAAGUCAGGAUGGAGGUGUGGGAGGACGAAGGCGCUGUGGUCGGUUUCUCUUCAUUUGUCAGGAUUGCCUCCCCGUACUGCAGGGACUCGUGAAAGCGGCGGAUGUUCUGCACAUGCUCUUCAUGGCGUGCGGCCUGGCUUUUUAUGGCACCAUUUCUGUCACGGGGAAAUCGGGAGUGAAGUCAAUUCCUAACCAAGGAGAGAACUCUCAGCAUGAUAGCUGAGUCAUUUUCUUGAAAUGACACCGCAGACCUGUCCCACCACACAAGUUUCUUAAAUAAACUCGCUUUCAGUCUUACCCACCCCACUUCCUUCUGUUCUCUACAUUUGAGCGGGAGUGACUUUUUUAACCAACACCACACAUGGAGCCUUCCUUUCGGAUUCAACAGGGAUUGUUCUAUUCACUCUUACCAUUCCUUUCUGGCUCUGCCUUUUUAAAUCUACAGAACAAACCUCUAAUUCCUAAGCAUGGUAUUCAAGAAUGUGAACACGACGAUUUUCGGCAGCCUUAUUGAGGUAUAAUUCAUACAGCAGUUAACCCAAUUGAAAUACAUAAUCGGGCGAUUUUAGUAUAUUCAGAGUAUGUGAGUAUUUGAUCCCUUAGAGCUGGAGUCACAAGUGGCUGUAGCCCCUGGCUGUGGAUGCUCAAGAGGCACUGAGCUCAGGUCCUCUGGAAGAGCAGCAGUUACCCUUACUGGCUGACACGUUUCUCCAGGCCCUGUAUUUAAGCUUUUAAAGAACUACCAAACAGUUCUGCAAAGCACUUAGACAACUUUACAUCCUCCCCACAUCCUCCCUGCCUGCCUCACACUGUGAUACUCCCCCGCUACUACGGUGGGUAUGAAGCUGUACCUCAUUUUGGUUUUGAUUUGCAUUUUUCAUCAUCAUUUGUCUAUCUUUGGAGAACUGUCUAUCCAGCUACUUUGUUUUAAAAUUGUGUUAUUUAAGUCCCUCUACUAGUUGGGGGAUCAAACCCAGACACACAAGUGCUUCUAAUAGAAGCCCAUCAGAUGGGGUAUUUGUUUCAUAUUAUUGGAGUUGUUUAUGGUUUAGUUAUAAAUUCCCAUUUGAUCUGCUUUGAAGUUAUUCUUCUAUGGGUUUUCUUUUUUACAUUCUAUUUUUAGAUUUUCUUCAAAAAUUAUUUUUAUUUUGUGUGUAUGUGUAUGUGUGUGUGUGUGUGUGUGUGUGUGUGUGUAUGUAAGUAUGCUGUGUGUGGUGCCUUGGAGGCCAGAGGAUGACAAUGGAUACUGAGGACUUGGAGUUACAAGUUGCUGUGAGCCCUAACAUGUGGGUGCUGGCAGGUCAACUUGGGCACCCAGGAGUCGCUUUUACCUGCUGAGCCAUCUUCCAGCCCCUUCCCUUUCCUGAUGACAUAACUCAGGUCUUUACUUCUGAUCAAUCCUUUUUUUUUCUGCUUGUGCCUUUGUUGUCAUAUUUAAGGAAUCGAUAAUUCACAAAAAUUUACCCUGAUUAUGUUUUCUUUGAAGAGUUUCUUGUUUUGCUACGAUGUUAACUCCAGUUGGGGCUGUUUUGUGUCUAGCACUAGGAGGGGUUUAUAUUCAGCCUGUACUGGGAUGUCAAGCUGUUGCUGUUCUGUGCAGAAGCCUGUUCUUUCCUCAGUGAACUGUCUUGGCACACCUGAUAAAAUUCAGUUCACACACUUUACCUUUGGAAUAUUAAUUUUAUUUCAUUGAUCUGUAUUUCUAGCCUUUGCUGUGUUUUGCUUACUGUAGCAUUGUGAAAUUGUGAACUUUGUUCUUUUAAAAGAUUGUUUUGUCUAUUCUGCAUUUCUUGAAUUUCCAUAUGAAUUUUAGAAUCAGUUUAUUCAUUUCUAGAAAGAAACCAUAACAUUUUGAUAUUAUGUUGAAUCUAUAUUAGAAUUUUGGAAGUACCAUAAUUUUAAAAAUGUUAAAUUCAUGAAUCC